rnacentral:rRNA from 1 species
CACUCUAGAGAGACUGCCAGGGAUAACCUGGAGGAAGGUGGGGAUGACGUCAAAUCAUCAUGCCCCUUAUGCUUAGGGCUACACACGUGCUACAAUGGGUAGUACAGAGGGUUGCCAAGCCGUAAGGCGGAGCUAAUCCCUUAAAGCUACUCUCAGUUCGGAUUGUAGGCUGAAACUCGCCUACAUGAAGCUGGAGUUACUAGUAAUCGCAGAUCAGAAUGCUGCGG